rnacentral:misc_RNA from 1 species
AUCAAUCCGUCGAGAUAUCUCUACAAUUGAUAUCGUCUUUUUUCAUUAUUGAUCAGUUAUGGAUAAAUCUUUGAGAACUGCGUUGUUCUCUUGUGUUCUGCUUAUGAUCUCCAUAUGUGUUCCAUCAUCUUUGGCCUAAACAUGCCAGAGCUAUAACUUCUCUACCAAUCAGGUAUUCAGUGCUUGCAGUGAUCUUCCUGUGUUGA